rnacentral:rRNA from 1 species
AUUGAACGCUGGCGGCAGGCCUAACACAUGCAAGUCGAGCGAGCGGCGGACGGGUGAGUAAUGUAUGGGGACUUCCCGAUAGCGGGGGAUAACUACUGGAAACGGUAGCUAAUACCGCAUACUAUCGGAUAACACCUAUGGGAUUAGCUAAUAGGUGAGGUAAUGGCUCACCUAGGCGAAGCUCCCGAGCUGGUCUGCGAGGAUGAGCAGCCAAACUGGGACUGAGACACUGCCCAUACUCCUACGGAGGCAGCAGUGGGGAAUAUUGCACAAUGGUCGCAAGCCUGAUGCAGCCAUGCCGCGGGUAUGAAGAAGGCCCUAGGGUUGUAAAGUACUUUCAGUCGGGAGGCGUUACCGACAGAAGAAGCACCGGCUAACUCCGUGCCAGCAGCCGAGGUAAUAC